AGAAAAGAGAGAAAAAGAAAUAGAAAACCUGACUAAUUGGCAUUUUUUGUCCUGAGAUUUUGGUAGAAGAAUGAGAGAAAUGGACUAUUGGUGUUUCUCUUUCCUCUACCCACUUUCCUCUUUUAAAAUGCACAAUUUUAUCAGACCAUGUUGAGAUAAGGAGGGGUUUGGAGGUUUUUAGAGAUCAGCGGUAUUUAUGGAUGAAGUGACGAUUUAACUCCAGGAGACUGGGAUUUGGAAAAAUUAUGUCAUUUUUUUUUCUGACAGCCAGGACAGCACUUGAGGACUUCAAACAUCUCUGAUGGAACGGCCUGGUACUUUGAUAAAAAGAAGGAUGGUUUAUUUGUGUUUUUAACCUUUUUGACUUUGUAUUUUAUCCUUCUGACUUUAGGUUAAUGACUUUCUUUCUUCAGCAUUGUGGAUGAAUUAGGUUUUGUCAUGGGGAAAAACAUGAUCUGCAAAUUCAUCAUUUUUUGAGACUGUGAAUAUCAGCAAAACUAUCAACUUUCAGGAAAAUGGAAAGUCUCUCAGAGAUGAAGACUGAAUACAGUGGAGAGAGAACUUCUGGAUUCAAGGACAUUGAAAAUAAUAGCUACUGUCCACUUUCAGGUGAAGUUGAGCAUGGAUGAUAUGAUGUUUGUGAGCCUGAUCAUGUUGUACCCCUAUUAUAUGCUAUGCCACUGCAGCGAUCAAGCUUGUCUAAAACCACCCCUGCCUUCAUACCACUCAAGGAGAAGACAAAUAUAGUUGGUUAUUGGAAGAACCAACAGGAUUUUACAGGAUAAGUAGACAUUUCAUAGAGCUCUUGAAACCUGAAAAUGAUUGACAUUGCUGUGUGAAAGGAAAAUAUCUUGGGCCCCCAAAAUCACUAAGUUAAAGGGA
rnacentral:lncRNA from 1 species